rnacentral:rRNA from 1 species
AACGAACGCUGGCGGCAUGCCUAACACAUGCAAGUCGAACGAUGCCUUCGGGCAUAGUGGCGCACGGGUGCGUAACGCGUGGGAAUCUGCCUUUCGGUUCGGAAUAACUCAGGGAAACUUGAGCUAAUACCGGAUAACGUCGCAAGACCAAAGAUUUAUCACCGAAAGAUGAGCCCGCGUAGGAUUAGCUAGUUGGUGAGGUAAAGGCUCACCAAGGCGACGAUCCUUAGCUGGUCUGAGAGGAUGAUCAGCCACACUGGGACUGAGACACGGCCCAGACUACUACGGGAGGGAGGAGGGGGGAAUAUUGGAAAAGGGGGGAAAGGCUGAACCAGCAAUGCCGCGUGAGUGAUGAAGGCCUUAGGGUUGUAAAGCGCUUUUAACCGGGAAGAUAAUGACGGUACCGGGAGAAUAAGCCCCGGCUAACUCCGUG